UAGUUAAGAGCUAUGUCAAGUUAGCUAGGAUGACUUGCCUACAACCAAAUGAAAAAGGAUCAUUAAUAUUUUUGAACUAUCAAAUGGAGUAGGCAAGUCAUCCUUGGCUACUAAACAAUACUCUCAAACU
rfam:Capsicum annuum cultivar Zunla-1 chromosome 7, whole genome shotgun sequence